UACGUAGGGUGCGAGCGUUAAUCGGAAUUACUGGGCGUAAAGCGUGCGCAGGCGGUUUUGUAAGCCAGAUGUGAAAUCCCCGGGCUUAACCUGGGAAUGGCAUUUGGGACUGCAAGGCUCGAGUGCGGCAGAGGGGGGUAGAAUUCCACGUGUAGCAGUGAAAUGCGUAGAUAUGCGGAGGAACACCGAUGGCGAAGGCAAUCCCCUGGGCCUGCACUGACGCUCAUGCACGAAAGCGUGGGGAGCAAACAGG
rnacentral:rRNA from 1 species